ACCAACCAGCCUCCCGUCAGAGAGGGACAUGCGCAGUGAGUGCCUCCCGUCUCUUCUACCCGAACCCCCCUCCCCCCCCCAAGCAGAGAGACCCCAGCAGCAGCAGCAGCUGAUGAUGAAGAGAGAGGCAGUGGCAGAGGGGGGGCACCUUUUAUUUCUAUUUUUAAAGGGACAGGACACUAAUUUUAUCCCACUUCAACCUUGAAUUGAGGGGGGUGGGGGGAAGGCGGCUGAGUUCCUUCCCCCACCCUCCAGCCCUGAGACCUGAGAGGGGGAUUGAGCCUGAGAGAGAAGGAGAAGGAGUUUCUUCUUCUUCGAAAACCCCCAUCCACGACUCCUACCCCCUCACCCCUCCACUAGCCUCUCUCCCGAGCCCCCUCCAUCCUCCUCCUCUUUGGCCGUGAGAGGAGAGAAAGAGACCAAAAGCCUCUUAGCAACACAGACCCUUCUCUGCUGUUGCUGCUGCUGCUGCUACUGCUGCUGCUGCUUGGCCCUGGCUGGAGACAUCUCACUACACCCAGGAGCAGCCACUUCCCCAGCUCUCCUCCUCCUUCGCCUCCUCCUCCUCCUCCACUCCCCCCCCCCCCUUUAUUACCCUUUGUGUCAUCCUCCACAGCUCCAGGGAAGGCACUCAAAAGUGGGGGGCAGAAAAGAUGAAUAUUGAGGAUAUCAUUUUCUGCAUGUGGGAAGUAGAUAUUGAAGGUUAUCUGGUUUACAGACAAGAUCUUUAAAAAGUAGACACUGAAGGCAGAUUCUUUACUGUAUGAGCCACCAGGGAAGCCCAUGGUUGGUUCUACCACUCACAAAGUUCUGAAGUUUCUCAAACUUCUGAGGCUCCAUUUUCUUUCCUGCUCCUCUGUAAGAAGUAUUGAGAGGCUCCAUUGUGGUGGUCAAUAUGAAAU